UACGAAGGGGGCUAGCGUUGCUCGGAAUCACUGGGCGUAAAGGGCGCGUAGGCGGCGUUUUUAAGUCAGGUGUGAAAGCCCUGGGCUUAACCUAGGAAUUGCGCUUGAGACUGGAUAGCUUGGAGUGCGGCAGAGGGAGGUGGAAUUCCACGUGUAGCAGUGAAAUGCGUAGAGAUGUGGAGGAACACCGAUGGCGAAGGCAGCCUCCUGGGCCAGCACUGACGCUCAUGCACGAAAGCGUGGGGAGCAAACAGG
rnacentral:rRNA from 1 species